AAAAAAUUUCUUUGGACAGAGCUUGGUGAAGAGACAUCUUUGUGUUUAAAGGCAAUCUUGAAACUCAUGGGCACUGUGGUCUGGGAUCUGAGUCCUGCUUAGGAUGUGUGAGGCUCAGAAAGGUCUGGUUUUCUGUAGGACAUCAGAGCUGGGAAGUGCUUCUAAUCCUAGAAGGGACCUGGGCUCUCAGAAGGUACUGGAGGAAGGAGGCUUCAUGUCCUGUGCACCAGAAAUGGGGUACCUCACAGGAGCCCAUGAAGGUCUACACAGAAUGAAUCAGACUGAAACUUCCACCAGACCAGAGACCUCAAGCCAGCUGAAGACAGCUUCAGACUGUGAAAAGGGGCUCAACUUGGUGAAUAGAAAACUACCCUGCAUUGAAAAGAACGCUGCUGGAUCCACAUCCUAGGUUCAGCUUUUAUGAGCAGUGGGGCUCAGGGGAGGGGAGAUUUACUAAAUACAUGAUCCUGAGGAAGUAUAAAAAGAAUAGUAAUAAAGAACAAUGCCCUGAAGAUUGUAA
rnacentral:lncRNA from 1 species